rnacentral:rRNA from 2 species
AAACCAACAGGGAUUGCCUCAGUAGCGGCGAGUGAAGCGGCAAGAGCUCAGAUUUGAAAUCGUGUUUCGGCACGAGUUGUAAAUUGCAGGUUGGAGUCUUUGCGGACGUGCGUGUCCAAGUCCCUUGGAACAGGGCGCCAUUGAGGGUGAGAGCCCCGUGGGAUGCGUGCCGAAGCUUUAAGACCCUUCUGACGAGUCGAGUUGUUUGGGAAUGCAGCUCUAAGUGGGUGGUAAAUUCCAUCUAAGGCUAAAUAUUGGCGAGAGACCGAUAGCGAACAAGUACUGUGAAGGAAAGAUGAAAAGCACUUUGAAAAGAGAGUGAAACAGCACGUGAAAUUGUUGAAAGGGAAGGGUAUUGGGCUCGACAUGGGAUUUGCGCAUCGCUGCUCCUUGUGGGCGGCGCUCUGGGCUUUUCCUGGGCCAGCAUCGGUUUUCGCCGCAGGAUAAGGGGCGCUGGAACGUGGCUCUUCGGAGUGUUAUAGCCAGUGUCAGAUGCUGCGUGUGGGGACCGAGGGCUGCGACAUCUGUCUCGGAUGCUGGCACAACGGCGCAAUACCGC